UACGUAGGGUGCGAGCGUUAAUCGGAAUUACUGGGCGUAAAGCGUGCGCAGGCGGUUUGGCAAGUCAGAUGUGAAAUCCCCGAGCUCAACUUGGGAACUGCGUUUGAAACUGCCAGACUAGAAUAUGUCAGAGGGGGGUAGAAUUCCACGUGUAGCAGUGAAAUGCGUAGAGAUGUGGAGGAAUACCAAUGGCGAAGGCAGCCCCCUGGGUUAACACUGACGCUCAUGCACGAAAGCGUGGGGAGCAAACAGG
rnacentral:rRNA from 1 species